AGGCCCUGUUUGGGACAGCUGCUGCUUGUUGAAAAAGCAGCUUAUCUGAUAAGCUGGUAAAAAGCAGCUUCUGCUUGUUGGCUGCUUUUAGUUCAUUUUGAGAAGCAGCUGAACUGAUAAGCUGCUGCAGAAGCUGCCUGUUUGGCAGGACUUCAGCUUAAAUUUGUGAAGAAGCUGAAAAUAAGCUGUGCCAAACAGGGCCCUAGUUUGAAAGGGCACAACCUCAACUACUAAGAUACCUCUAUAAUACAAACUAAAUUUUAUCAAUAGACUUCCUCAAUUAAUUAGCUCGAAAAUAAAAACGGAAGUACCUAUACUAAUAUAUGGUACUUUCCCAACCAUUGAAAGUUCCAUUGUCUGCCCUAUUGACAUGCCACUAGCGCAAACAAUGACAGUUCUAAAGCUCAAAUAAUUUUUUGGGGUCCCGGCCGGGGAGAGAUUGCCUACAAAAAGGUAAUUGACGUUACAUGACAUGUCAAUUUGUAAGAGCUGCGAUCUAAUAAAAAUCUCUCCUCUCCUACAUAUAUCUCUCAUGUAUUAAAAGAGGUUAAGGCAUGAACAAUCGCGUGAUUAACAUAGUUGGAUCGAGAUGCAACCAACGACGAUGGCUGGUCUUUAGAAUUCCAUAUGUUUUCGGAUAGAUAGAGGUUUGCAUGCAAGUCGAUGGCAUUUUUGUGUUGCUAUGUGACAGCUAAUGCCUAAUGCAGAUUCAGACUAAAAUGAACCGAUGUAGCAUGCAUCAGUUUACUGGCAACAAAAGGGUCAUCUUUGUUGAGAGAGGCAUGCGUUGGUGAUGAUCAUCAGCUCAAUUUACUGGCAACAAAGGGUAGAUAGCGACAAGUCAAUUUUAAUGCCGCGGUGGACCUCCAAAAAAGGGCAGGUAGGAGAAUAGAAGAUCUGGUCGAGAAGGGUCGUCAAAGUGAUUUUGUUUUCCUGUUUUGGGUGCAUUAGCUUUCCUUUUUUCCCCCUUUUAAGUGAUGGCUAUCUUGUCUCUCAGGAUAACCUUAAACUGUGUGCCUGAGUGGUGGAUUCACAGAUUUUUUUUCCAAGAUGCUGAAUUUGAUUUCUACCUGUGUGUAUGGGUCUAAUUGAUGAUCCUGUUUAUAUAUUGUUUAUUUUGUGUUGGGUCUGAUUGUUGAUUUAGAAUCCUUUGAGGAAAUAGAUGCCCCAGUGUUUUUAGGGAUGUCGACCUUGUCAAAUAGAUAGCAAACUCAGUAUCUUCUGCAAAUCUGUGCAUCCACCACACAGUAAGGCUAUCCUGAUCAAGAGAUAAGGUAGUCAUGGCUAAAAGGAGGAAAGCAAAACUAAUGUACCUGUACAUGAAAAAAAACUCACUUUGAUGACCCUUCAAAGACCAGAGCUUCUAUUCCACUAGCACUAAAAUUGACACUUGUGGCCAUCCUUUGAUUGCUAACGAAUUGGGUUGAUCAUCACACAAUAAAAGGUGGAGGGAUUCGCUCUUCCUCUCAACCUCCGCUGGAGGUGAAACGGGAGUGGAGGCCAAGUGUUCUUGGCCGAAGCCUUGUGUUAUGGCAAUAAUUGGCGCACUAUUCAAGUAUUCAUCAUCCUUUACAGUUCUACUCUCAUGUUGAUCAAGCAAGUUUGCUUGGGAGUGUUAUUUAUAGCCCUUCUCUCAUGCUAAAUAAAAUCGGUGUAUUCUAGAUAGGGCUCGACGAAAUACUUGUGGCUUAAUAACUCACUCGACUCGGCUCAUUUUAAUUUUAUAGUGAGCUGAGCUGGCAUUCGAGCUCGGUUCUCUAACGAGCCAGCUCGGGCUAGCUCGCGAGCCAGGCGAGCCAAGUCAAGCCACAACACAAAUUCGUUUAGUCACCAAUAUCACCUCGUCUCCACAACACAAAUUCGUUUAGUCACCAAUAUCACCUCGUCUCUUAUAGUCUUGCUUUCUCAUAGUCUUGCCGUGUGAUUAAAUAUUGUAUUAUUGCAUGACUACAUACUUACAUUACAGAUUUAAUAUUGGAUUGUUGGUUAUGGUUUUGCGAACUUGUGGUUGGUAGCAGCAUACAAUAUUAGUGUUGUGCAAUGAAAUGUUACAUACUUGUGGAAUGGAUGAUGGAUUGCUCUAUUAAUGCUUGUAGCUAUCUUGUUAUAAUAAGUAGGGUUUGAUAUCGAGCCAGCUCGGCUCGAUUCGGCCGAGUUUGAGCUAGCUCGUUAAGGUAACGAGCUGGCUCAGCUCAUUAAGGAACUGAGCCAAAGAACCAGCUCGGCUCGGUUCGUUUACGAGUUCAAGCUGGCUUGUUUAGCUCGUGAGCCACAAGAAAAAAUCAAUAUAUAUAUAUAUGUACAACAAUAUGAUUAAUUACUAAUUAAUUAUAGACCAAUUUAGUGCUAUAUAAGAGAAAUAAUACUCACAAUUUCAAAUACCACAUAUAUUUAACGUCGAAUUAACACAAUUCAUCACUUAUUAGUUAAUCUAAUAUAAGUAGUGUUGAUAACAUGUUCUCAAUUGCUGUGAAUCAAGAACAAGGCAACGCAUUUGUUAUAUAUUAAAGUCCUUCGUCCUUCGAAUCAUUAUUCCCUCUCGGGUUUAAUAAAUCUUAGACGAAGGUCAUAAGUAACAAGUCCUCAUCAUUCACAGAUAUAAAAAUAUACUUGCAAGAUGUAAUAUCAUGCCACAUAUUUAUUUUAUAAUGAAUGUACAAGCACUGUCAUAGUUUAUGUUACAUUGAUACCUUUAGCUUGUUCGAAGGUAAUGACGCGAGAGCAAUUACCAUCCAGCGUGAAUAGUACGGGGGCACAGUUCACCUAUUUAUAGGCACGGGACACAACCCAGAUAAAAAUACAUUUGUGAUCUUAACAUAUAUACAUAAUCUUGAUACAAAACACUAGAGAUUUACUGGUCUUUUCCCAUUCAGCUCAAUAUUAUGGUUGACCUUCGUUACCAUCUUAAACCGAAGCUUUCAUCCUUCGGCGCUUUACACAUGCUUAUUGUAGCUUGAGCAUUCAACCUUGUUGCUGAUAAAUAAUUCCUCCGCCUUGAGGAUCUUCGGUAGAGAAGGAGAACCCCAACAGUAGCCCCUUCACGGUGCUAGGUCAUUUUUUCAUAACGAGCUCGAUCCAUGAAAAACACGAAGGCUUCUGAAUGUCGAAGUUCCGAAAACACCUUCCCUAAGCUUGUUAUUAAAUAACGAAUAAAAAUUUACGGCCUUUGCAGGUCCACCGAUCAGUCAGUAAGCGCAUUACGACGGUUCACCUUCAUCACUUGCAAGGCUAUAUAAACAGAUGAGUUGGUAAAUGUAACACCCAAAAUCCUAUUGUGGAAUUUAUAAAUGUUUCUCUAAAAGAUUUAGAAUUAAAAUGUCUCUUAGUAUAAAAUUUCCCACUUUUAAAGUCAUUCUCCCCUAAAAUAAAUUAUUGGCAAUACUAAAAUGUUAUUAGCUAAAUAUAAAUUCUAAAACAUUAGAAUAGAAUAAUCCUCUCAUGAACUAUACAAUUCGGGAUACCUUCCAAAAUAUAUAAAUAAUUCUUAAAAGGGAAUAUGUGUUACUUCUCUAAAAAUAAGAAAAACAAUAUAGAUUCAUUUUUUUGAUUUUAACCUUUAAUUCGAUCACACCUUCACAAAUGAUAUUUUCCUAAAAAAUGAAUAACAUAUGAAUUAUUCUUUAUAGCAUGAUUAUAGGCAUUUACUUAAAGGCAUGUAAUAAUAAGUAAAAUAAUAAUAAUAAUAAUACCUUUCUAUGCAUCCAUUAUGGAUUUUGGGUUCUGCAUAUUUGAAUUGGAAACCACAACUCAAAUUUGAGUUUGAAAUUUCAAAUUGAAAUGAAAACAAGAAAAAUAAAAAGGGAAGAGAGCACUAGAGCCAAAUCUUCUCUAUCUCGGCCCAGCAACAAACCAUCGUCCCAGUUCGUGCCCAGCCAAUACACCUCACGCGCCGCACCACCGCCAUGCGGGGCCCAUUGGUCGGCCCAAUUUCCUCACCUCACCCGCUGACGUGCGGGCCCCUGAUUCAGGCGUUAGUGCCAAUAUCGCGUGCGAUCACACUAUCGUGUGGGCUCUGGUCUCAGUCGCACUUACACGUGGGGCCUCGGUGACAGUAUCAUCUUCUCCGUGUCGCGUGCUCUUGUAACAGAGCCCGGUCCCCGCGCAAAUGCCCUGUAGAUCUUAGGAUAUCUCACCCAGACCUCGCCGCAUUGGGCGUAGCCUUGUCCCUAUAAAGUUGACGUGACCUCCCUCCCUCGUCAUGCAAACUCGAGCCGAAGAACCAACAUCGUGAUUAUAGAGAUUGCACGAGGGAGAGCAGAGUGAGAGCUUAAGAGCCGCUGUUGUGGUGCCUGCGUCCGGAGCCACCUAGCCUUAGCUUGUGACUCAGGCAUGUUCACCGAUUCAGGAGCAACGUGUUCGGAAGGGGUUUGGAGCACAAGAAGCCUUGGAGACAUGGUGAUUUCUCGCCGGAGCUCUUGCUCCGCCACAUCACCGCUGCGCGCCGGGGGCAGGGAUCAUCGUGACAUAAUUGCAGGUAAUGUCACCUUCGUGACACUCGCCCUUCUCUCUGCAUCGUGUAGCACCUCUCCGAAGUCCGAUUAGUGCACUUGGGCGCUGCGUCGGGGAACGCCGAUGAACCUCCGCCGCGGUUCGGGGCGGUGCUGCCUUGGUCGGCAGGGUGAAGGAGAUAAAGCAUUGUGGCCGCUGGAUAUCGAGCGUGCGGUCUGGAUUAGAUAGGGUUGUGACGGUUCAGUGGUGUGAUUCGGACCGUUGGUCUAUUAGCGACCGGAUCCAAGGCGUUCUCCAACACUUAAAAUUUAGGCCAUCGAUCUUCAAUCUGACGGUCUCAAUUGGUAUCGGAGUCAGUGCUUCAUUAAGAGUCUAAUCAACUCAAAGUGAUGUCUGGAGAUCAUGCCAAGAAGGAGAUCAUGACCGGCGAAAAGGCCGCAAGCUCCGGGAGGACUCUCUCAAGGGAGUCCGACAACAAAAACAAGGAGGAAUCCUCUUCCUCCAUCAAGUCGCAUCGGAAAGGUGACAAGAAGAAGAAGAUGAAGAAGGUGGUCUACUACGAGACCGACUCUUCAUCACCUUCCACAUCAAGCUACGAAUCGUCCACUACUUCUAAGAACCAUGAGCGUAAGAAGUAUAGUAAGAUGCCCCUACGCUAUCCUCGUAUUUCAAAGUGCGCUCCAUUACUUUUCGUACCCCUAGGCAAACCACCAUAUUUCUAUGGUGAAGAUUAUUGUAUGUGGAGUGAUAAAAUUAGGCACCAUCUAACCUCACUCCACGAAAGCAUUUGGGAUAUUGUUGAGUUUGGAGCGCAGGCACCAAAGGUGGAGGACAAGGACUACGACUCGAACGAGGCCGCCCAAAUUAGGCACUUCAACUCCCAAACCACGUGUAUUCUCCUCGCCUCCUUGUGUCGAGAGGAGUAUAACAAGGUGCAAGGAUUAAAAAGCGCCAAAGAAAUUUGGGACGUCCUCCAAACCGCGCACGAAGGGGACGAGGUGACCAAGAUCACCAAGUGGGAAACAAUCGAGGGUGAGCUCGAUCGAUUCGACCUCAACAAAGGAGAAGAGCCGCAAAUAAUGUACAAACGACUAAAGAAAAUGGUGAACCAAGUGCGCAACCUCGGGAGCACCAAAUGGGAUGACCAUGAAAUGGUCAAAGUUAUUUUAAGAUCCCUUGUUUUUCGUAAUCCUACUCAAGUACAAUUAAUUUGUGGGGAUCCUAGAUACAAACAGAUGUCUCUCGAGGAGGUUAUUGGCAAAUUUGUGAGCUUUGAACUAAUGAUCAAAGACUCCAAACACAUUGUCAACUUGAAGCAAGGCGCCACCUCUACAACCGAGGUGCAACUUGUCGCAUUCAAAGCGACAGAAGAACAGAAGGAGUCUACACCAAGUAGGCUUCCAAUCGACGCCUCCAUGCUCGACAACAAGGAAAUGUCGCUCAUCAUCAAGAGCUUCUACCAAAUCCUCAAACAAAGGAGAGGGAAAGACUACAAAUCCCGCUCCAAGAGGGUGUGUUACCAGUAUGGUAAGUCCGGUCACUCUAUUGCUAAACGUCAAAUUUCUAGUGAAAGUGACAGGGACGAAGACAAGAAGGGGAAGAAGGAGAAGAAGAGAUACUACAAGAAGAAGGGCGGUGAUGCGCACAUGUGUCAGGAAUGGGACUCCGACGAGAGCUCCACUAACUCCUCCUCCGAUGAGGACGCCGCCAACAUCACCGUCAACAAGGGCCUCCUCUUCCCCAACGUCAGCCACAAAUGUCUCAUGACUCAGGACGGCAAAAAGAAGAAGGUACACUCUAGAGCCACCCCCAAAUAUACAACAUCUAGUGAUGAGGGUAACUCUAGUGAUAAUGAAGAUGAUUUACUUGCUCUUUUUGCCAACCUUAACAUGGGACAAAAGAAAAAAUUAAAUGAACUAAUUGAGACCAUUAACAAGAAGGAUGAUCUCUUGGAAAGCCAAGAUGACUUCCUCAUUAAGGAGAACAAAAAAUUUGUUAAGUUGAAAAAUGCUUAUGCUCAGGAAGUAGAAAAAUGUGAAAACUUAUCUGAGGAGUUUAGCGUUUGUCAUGAUUCAAUUUCAAGUCUUAGAACUGAGAAUGAUAGUUUAGUUUCUAAGAUUGAAAAGUUGAAUGUUUACAAUGAUUCUAUUUCCAGUCUUAGAAAUGAAAAUGCGAUGUUAAAUACUAGGAUAGAAGAAUUAACUACUUGCAAACCUUCGACAUCUACUGUUGAGCAUGUUUCCAUUUGCACUAGAUGUAGAGAUGUUAAUGCUGAAGCUAUUGAUGACCAACUUGCCAUGAUUAAACAACAAAAUGAUCACAUAGCUAAGUUAAUUGCUAAAAUUGUCGAGCAUAAACUAGAAAAUAAAAAAUUUAAAUUUGCUCGUAGCAUGCUCUAUAAUGGGAGACGCCCUGUCAUUAAGGAUGGCAUUGGUUUCCAACAGGGGAGCAAUGUCAAGCUUAAUGCCCCUAAGAAACUGUCUAAUUUUGUUAAGGGCAAAGCUCCCAUGGUUCAGGAUAGUGAAGGCUACAUUUUAUAUACUACAAACUAUCUCGAACACAAAAUUAGGAAGAUUCAUGCUAGAAAACCUCACAAUGUUUCUCACCAUGCAUUUAUGUAUAAAAAUGAGGCUUCUAUCUCUAGGCAAACCACUCAUGUUAAAAUGCCUAGAAAGAAAAUUCCUGCUCCAUCAAAUGAGCAUAAUGUCUCAUUUAAAACUUUUGAUGCUUCCUAUGUGCUUACUAACAAAUCAGGCAAAGUAGUUGCCAAAUAUGUUGGGGGCAAACACAAGAAUCCAAAGACUUGUGUUUGGGUACCCAAGGUGCUUGUUUCUAAUGUCAAAGGACCCAAGACUGUUUGGUUACCUAAGUGAAAGUCGCCUAGAGGGGGUGGAUAGGCGGAAACUGAAAUUUACAACUUUAAACACGCUACAAGUCGGGGUUAGCGUUAGAAUAAAAACCGAGUUCGAGAGAGAGGGGAAAACAAAUCAACCAAGAAAAUAAAGCAGAUGACACGGUGAUUUGUUUUACCGAGGUUCGGUUCCAAAGAACCUAGUCCCCGUUGAGGUGGUCAUAAAGACCAGGUCUCUUUCAACCAUUUCCCUCUCUCAAACGGACACUUAGACCGAGUGAGGCUUCUUCCUUAAUCUCACGGGUCACUUAGACCCCGCAAGGAUCACCACACAAUUGGUGUCUCCUGCCUCGCUUACAAAGCACUUGAGAGUAAGAAGUGAGAAAAAAGAAAGCCAAGCCAAGUAAACAAGAGCAACAAGAAACACAAGUGAUCCUGUCACAAGUCCUAAUGCACUAGAAUUGAAUUAGGGACUUUGAUCGGAUCGGUGGCUUUGAUUUGUGUCUUCGAGUGUUGUACUUUGCUCUUGUAUUGAAUGAGGAGUAGUGAAUGCUUGGAUGGCUGGAGUGGAGGUGGUUGUGGGGUAUUUAUAGCCCCCAACCACCAAUUCAACCGUUGGGGGUGGCUGCUAUCGAUGGGCGCACGCCAGCCACGUCACCCAACCGUUAGGGUUCGGGCGGUUUCGACCGUUGGAGCUUUGUCUUCUGGUGGCACCGGACAGUCUGAUGCCGCACCGGACAGGUACCAUUCACUGUCCGUUGCGCCUCUGGCGGCUGCUCUGACUUCUGCGCGACCUGUCCGCGCACUGUAGCGUUGCAGGCUACCGUUGAAGUCGACCGUUGUGCUGGCUAGCCGUUGCUCCACUGGUGCACCGGUCAGUCUGGUGCCACACCGGACAGUCCAGUGAAUUAUAGCGGAGCGACGCCUGAGAAACCCGAAGGUGAAGGGUUCAGAGUCAUACGGCCCUGGUGCACCGGACAUUAUCCGGUGGCACACUAGACAGUCCGGUGCGCUAGACCAGUGUACUCUUCGGUUUCUUUUUCUCCUUUCUUUUUGAACCCUAACUUGAUCUUUUUAUUGGUUUGUGUUGAACCUUUAUGCACCUAUAAAAUAUAUAAUCUAGAGCAAACUAGUUAGUCCAAUUAUUUGUGUUGGGCAUUCAACCACCAAAAUUAUUUAUAGGAAAAGGUUAAACCCUAUUUCCCUUUCAAUCUCUCUCUUUUUGGUGAUUGAUGCCAACACAAACCAAAGCAAAUAUAUAAGUGCAGAAUUGAACUAGUUUGCAUAAGGUAAGUGCAUAGGAUGCUUUGAAUUAAACCAAUUUUAUAGUUUCACUAGAUAUGCAUGGUUGCUUUCUUUUAUUUAACAUUUUGGACCACGCUUACACCACUUGUUUUGUUUUUGCAAAUUAUUUUGGAAAAUCUUUUCAAAGUCUUUUUGCAAAUAGUCAAAGGUAUAUGAGUAAGAUUGUGAGAAGCAUUUUCAAGUUUUGAAAUUUUCUCCCCCUGUUUCAAAUGCUUUUCCUUUGACUUAACAAAACUCCCCCUGAAUAAAAUUCUCCUCUUAGUCUUCAAGAGGGUUUUUUAAUAGAUACCAAUUGGAACUUAUACUUAGGUACUAGUUUUGAAAUUUCUUCUUUAAAUAUACCAAUUGAAAAUAUCAUAUCAAUUGAGGAAAUUUCUAUUAUAAGAUACCAAUUGAAAAUCAUGAUGCCAAUUUGAAAUAUAUCAACUAAAAUUUUUCGAUGGGUGGUGGUGCGGUCCUUUUGCUUUGGGCUAAUACUCUCUCCCCCUUUGGCAUGAAUCGCCAAAAACGGAGACUUUGUGAGCCCUUUACUUUCUCCCCCAUUAGUUGAGGUAAAUAUGAGUGAAAGAUUAUACCAAUUUGAGAGUGAUGUGGAGUGAUGACGAAGGGUAAAUGAUACCGAUAGAGUGGAGUGGAAGCCUUGUCUUCGCCGAAGACUCCAUUUCCCUUUCAAUCUACGACUAAGUAUAGAAAUACACUUGAAAACACAUUAGUCGUAGACAUAAAAGAGAUAUGAUCAAAGAUAUAUAAAUGAACUAUGUGGGCAAUGUUUCAAUCAAAAUUCUGAGAAUCAAAAAUGUUUAGCUCAUUCCUAAGUUUGCUAAAAGUUUUAUCAUCUAAUGGCUUGGUGAAUAUAUUGGCUAAUUGUUCUUUGGUGCUAACAUAAGCGAUCUCGAUAUCCCCCCCUUUGUUGGUGAUCCCUCAAAAAGUGAUACCGAAUGUCUAUGUGCUUAGUGGGGCUGUGUUCAACGAGAUUAUCCGCCUUGCGGAUUGCACUCUCAUUGUCACAUAGGAGGGGGACUUUGCUCAAUUUGUAGCCAUAGUCCCUGAGGGUUUGCCUCAUCCAAAGUAAUUGCGCACAACAAUGACCUGCGGUAAUAUACUCGGCUUCGGUGGUAGAAAGAGCUAAUGAGUUUAGUUUCUUUGAAGCCCAAGACACCAGGGAUCUCCCCAGAAACUGAUAUGUCCUUGUUGUACUCUUCCUAUCAAUUUUACACCCUGCCCAAUCAUCUUCUGAAUAUCCUAUUAAAUCAAAGGUGGAUCCCUUGGGGUACCAAAGUCCAAACUUAGGAGUAUAAACUAAAUAUCUCAUGAUUCUUUUAACGGCCCUAAGGUGAACUUCCUUAGGAUGGGCUUGGAACCUUGCACACAAGCAUACGGAAAGCAUAAUAUCCGGUCGAGAUGCACAUAAAUAGAGUAAAGAUCCUAUCAUCAACCGGUAUACCUUUUGAUCUAUGGACUUACCUCCCGUGUCGAGGUCGAGAUGCCCAUUUGUUCCCAUGGGUGUCUUGAUGGGCUUGGCAUCCUUCAUUCCAAACUUGGUAAGUAUGUCUUAUAUGUACUUUGUUUGGCUGAUGAAGGUGCCCUCUUGGAGUUGCUUGACUUAAAAUCCUAGAAAAUACUUUAACUCUCCCAUCAUAGACAUCUCAAAUUUCUGAAUCAUGAUCCUACUAAACUCUUCACAAGUAUAUUUGUUAGUAGACCCAAAUAUGAUAUCAUCAACAUAAAUUUGGUAUACAAACAAUAUCAUACCAUGCUCUUGGGGCUAGCUUGAGCCCAUAAAGCGCCUUUGAGAGUUUAUACACAUGGUUAGGGUACUCACUAUCUUCAAAGUUGGGAGGUUGCUCAACAUAGACCUCUUCCUUGAUUGGUCCAUUGAGGAAGGCACAUUUCACGUCCAUUUGAUAAAGCUUAAAGCCAUGGUAAGUAGCAUAGGCAAGUAAUAUACGAAUUGAUUCAAGCCUAUCUAUGGGUGCAUAUGUUUCACCAAAAUCCAAACCUUCGACUUGUGAGUAUCCUUUGACAACAAGUCGGGCUUUGUUCCUUGUCACUACACCAUGCUCGUCUUGCUUGUUGCGGAAUACCCAUUUGGUACCUACAACAUUUAGAUUAGGACAUGGAACUAAAUACCAUACCUCAUUCCUCGUGAAGUUGUUGAGCUCCUCUUGCAUUGCCAACACCCAAUCCGAGUCUCUUAGUGCAUCCUCCACCAUAUAUGGCUCAAUAGCGGACACAAAAGAGUAAUGUUCACAAAAAUGAGCGACUCGAGAUCGAGUGGUUACCCCCUUAUGAAUAUCGCCGAGGAUGGAGUUCACGGGGUGAUCUCUUUGAAUCGCUUGAUGGACUCUUGGGUGUGGCGGUCUUUGACCCUGUACUUCUUGAUCAUCUUCCUUGUCUUGAUCAUUGUCAUCUCCCCCUUGAUCAUUGUCCUCCUCUUGAGGUGGCUCAUCCUCUUGAUCUUCAUCUUCAUUGUCUUGAGCCUGAUCCUCAUCUUGGGUUGGUGGAGAUGCUUGCAUGGAACAUGACGGUUGAUCUUGUGCAUGAGUGGGCUCUUCGGAUUCUUUAGGACACACAUCCCCAAUUGACAUGUUCCUUAGUGCGACGCACUGAGCCUCUUCAUCAUCUAGCUAAUCAAGAUCAAUAUGCUCCACUUGGGAGCCAUUAGUCUCAUCAAACACAAUGUCACAAGAAACCUCAACUAAUCCAGUGGAUUUGUUGAAGACUCUAUAUGCCCUUGUGUUUGAGUCAUAACCGAGUAAAAAGACUUCUACAGCCUUAGGAGCAAAUUUUGAUUUUCUACCUCUUUUAACAAGAAUAAAGCAUUUGCUACCAAAGACUCUAAAAUAUGAAACAUUGGGCUUUUUAUCGGUGAGGAGUUCAUAUGAUGAUUUCUUGAGGAUUCGGUGAAGAUAUACCCGGUCGAUGGAGUAGCAGGCGGUGUUAAUCGCCUCAGCCAAAAACCAGUCCAGAGUCUUGAACUCAUCAAGCAUGGUCCUCGCCAUGUCUAUUAGAGUUCUAUUCUUCCUCUCCACUACACCAUUUUGUUGAGGGAACUCAUGCUUGAUGCACUCCUCCUCAAGAAAGCCUUCAAUUUGAGAGUUCUUGAACUCCGUCCCGUUGUCGCUUCUUAUCUUCUUGAUUCUCAAUCUGAACUCAUUUUGUGCCCAUCUCAAGAAUCCCGUUAAGGUCUCUUGGGUUUGAGAUUUUUCCUUCAAAAAGAAUACCCAAGUGAAGCAAGAAUAAUCAUCCACAAUUAGAAGACAAUACUUACUCCUGUCGAUGCUUAUAUAAGCUAUCGGGCCGAAUAGAUCCAUGUGGAGUAACUCCAGAGGCCUGUCCGUUGUCAUUAUGUUUUUGUGUGGAUGGUGGGUACCAACUUGCUUUCCUGCUUUACAUGCGCUACAAACCCUGUCUUUCUCAAAAUGAACAUUGGUUAGUCCCAAAAUGUGUUCUCCCUUUAGAAGCUUGUGAAGAUUCUUCAUCCCAACAUGGGCUAGUCGGCGAUGCCAGAGCCAACCCAUAUUAGUCUUAGCAAUUAAGCAAGUAUUGAGUUCAGCUCUAUUAAAAUCAACUAAGUAUAGCUGACCCUCUAAUACUCCCUUAAAUGCUACAGAAUCAUCACUUCUUCUAAAGACAGUAACACCUAUAUCCGUAAAAAGACAGUUGUAGCCCAUUUUACAUAAUUGAGAAACUGAAAGAAAAUUGUAAUCUAAAGAAUCUACAAGAAAAACAUUGGAAAUAGAAUGGUCAGGUGAUAUAGCAAUUUUACCAAGUCCUUUGACCAAACCUUAAUUUCCAUCCCCGAAUGUGAUAGCUCUUUGGGGAUCAUCGUUUUUCUCAUAGGAGGAGAACAUCCUUUUCUCCCUUGUCAUGUGGUUUGUGCAUCCGCUAUCAAUAAUCCAACUUGAGCCCCCGGAUGCAUAAACCUACAAAACAAAUUUAGGCCUUGUUCUUAGGUACCAAAACAGUCUUGGGUCCUUUGAUGUUAGAAACAAGCACCUUGGGUACCCAAACACAUGUCUUGGAGCCCUUGUGUUUGCCUCCAACAUAUUUGGCAACUACUUUGCCUGAUUUGUUAGUUAAAACAUAAGAUGCAUCAAAAGUCUUAAAUGAAACAUUAGGCUCAUUUGAUGCAGUAGGAGUUUUCCUUUUAGGCAAUUUAACAUGUGUAGAAUGCCUAAAGCUAGAUGCCUCAUUCUUAUACAUAAAUGCAUGGUGAGGAACAGAAUGAGUUUUCUUGGCAUGAAUUCUCCUAAUUUUGUGCUCAGGAUAAUUAGCAGGAUAUAAAAUAUAGCCCUCAUUAUCCUGAACCAUGGGAGCCUUGCCCUUUACAAAAUUAGACAAUCAUUUAGGGGCAUUAAGUUUGACAUUGCUUCCAUGUUGGAAACCAAUGCCAUCCUUGAUGCCAGGGCGUCUCCCAUUAUAUAGCAUGCUUUUAGCAAAUUUAAAUUUUUCAUUUUCUAUCUCAUGCUUAUUGAUUUUAGCAGUUAAUUGAGCUAUAUGAUCAUUUUGUUGUUUAAUUAAAGCAAGGUGAUCAUGAAUAGCAUCAACAUUGAUAUCUCUACAUCUAGUACAAAUGGCAACAUGCUCAACUAUAGAUGUAGAGGGUUUGCAAGCAUUUAGUUCAUCUAUCUUAGCUUGUAAUAUUGCAUUCUUAUCUCUAAGACAGGAAAUAGAAUCAUUGCAAACAUUUAAUUCUCUAGCCUUGGAGAUUAAACUAGCAUUUUCAAUUUUAAGGCUAGAAAUUGAUUCAUUCAGUUUAUCAAUCUUAGCAAUUAGACUAGCAUUUUCAUUUUUAAGAUUGAUAAUUGAAUCAUGGCAAACAUUUGAUUUUUCAACCUUAGCAAUUAAAUUAACAUUUUUAGUUCUAAGGUUGGAAAUAGUGUCAUGGCAGAUGCUAAGCUCCUUAGUCAAAUUUUCACAUUUUUCAACUUCCUGAGCAUAAGCAUUUUUACCUUUAACAUGCUUUUUGUUUUCCUUAAUAAGGAAUUCCUCUUGGCUAUCCAAGAGUUCAUCCUUCUCAUGAAUAUCACCUAUCAAUUCAUUCAAUUUUUCUUUCUGUUGCAUGUUAAGGUUGGCAAAAAGGGUAAGCAGAUUUUCCUCAUCUUCACUAGAGCUACCCUCAUCACUAGAUGUUGUAUAUUUGUUGGAGGCUCUAGAUUUUACCUUCUUCUUUUUGCCGUCCUUUGCCAUGAGACACUUGUGGCCGACGUUGGGGAAGAAGAGACCCUUGUUGACGGUGAUGUUUGCGGCAUCCUCGUCGGAGGAGUCGGUGGGCUCAUGUCGGAGUCCCAUUCCCGACACACGUGGGCAUCGCCGCCCUUCUUCUUGUAGUACUUCUUCUUUUCCUUCUUCCUCCCCUUCUUGUCGUUGUCCCUAUCACUAUCACUAGACAUAGGGCAUUUAGCGAUAAAACGACCGGGCUUACCACAUUUGUAGCACACCCUUUUGGAGCGAGGUUUGUAGUCCUUCCCCAUCCUUUGCUUGAGGAUCUGACGGAAGCUCUUGAUGAUGAGCGUCAUCUCCUCAUUGUCGAGCUUGGAGGCGUCGAUGGGGAGCCUACUUGAUGUAGACUAUUUUUUUCUUCUCCUCCAUCGCUUUGAAUGCGAUGGGUUGUACCUCGGGUGUGGAGGUGCCCCCUUGCUCCAAGUUGACAAUUUGUUUGGAGCCUUUGAUCAUCAAUUCAAAGAUCACAAACUUUCCUAUAACCUCCUCGGGAGACAUUAGCUUAUAUCUAGGAUCACCACGAAUUAAUUGAACUUGUGUAGGAUUGCGAAAAACGAGUGAUCUUAGAAUAACCUUGACCAUUUCAUGGUCAUCCCAUUUGGUGAUCCCGAGGUUGUGCACUUGAUUCACCAUGGUCUUUAGCCGGUUGUACAUGGCUUGUGGCUCUUCCCCAUGGUCGAGGACGAAUCGACCGAGCUCUCCCUCGAUCGUCUCCCUUUUGGUGAUUUUGGUCACCUCGUCCCCUUCGUGUGCGGUCUUGAGGACAUCCCAAAUAUCUUUGGCGGUCUCUAACCCAUGCACUUUGUUAUACUCCUCUCGACUUAAGGAGGCGAGGAGUAUAGUAGUUGCUUGGGAGUUAAAGUGCCGUAUUUGGGCGACAUCGUCCGAGUCAUAGUCUUUAUCCCCCACUUGUGGUACCUGUGCUCCAUACUCAACAACAUCCCAUAUGCUUUUGUGGAGUGAGAUUAGAUGACCUUUCAUUUUAACACUCCACAUAGAAUAAUCUUCACCAUCAAAAACUGGUGGUUUGCCUAAUAGAACGGAAAGUAAAGGAGCACGUUUAGAAAUGCAGGGAUAGCGUAGGGGGAUCUUACUAAACUUCUUGCGCUCAUGGUGCUUAGAAGUGACGGACGCCACGUUGGAGCCGAAGGUGGAUGGCAACGAAGAAUUGGUCUCAUAGUAGACCACUUUCUUCAUCUUCUUCUUCUUGUCUCCACUCUAGUGUGACUUGACGCGGGGAGGUGAAUCCUCCCUUCCUUUGGCGCCGGACUCCCUUGAUGGAGCCUUCCCGUGGCUUGUGCCCGUUUCCAUCUCCCCCUUGGUGGAUCCUCCUGACAUCACUUCGAGUGGUUAUACUCUAAAUGAAGUACCAGGCUUUGAUACCAAUUGAAAGUCGCCUAGAGGUAGGGUAGAUAGGCGGAAACUGAAAUUUACAACUUUAAACACACUACAAGCCGGGGUUAGCGUUAGAAUAAAAAUCGAGUCCGAGAGAGAGGGGAAAACAAAUCAACCAAGAAAAUAAAGCGGAUGACACGGUGAUUUGUUUUACCGAGGUUCGGUUCCAAAGAACCUAGUCCCCAUUGAGAUGGUCACAAAGACCGGGUCUCUUUCAACCCUUUCCCUCUCUCAAACGGUCACUUAGACUGAGAUGAGGCUUCUUCCUUAAUCUCACUGGUCACUUAGACCCCGCAAGGAUCACCACACAAUUGGUGUCUCUUGCCUCGCUUACAAAGCACUUGACAGUAAGAAGUGAGAAAAAAAAGAAAGCCAAGCCAAGUAAACAAGAGCAACAAGAAACACAAGUGAUCCUCUCACAAGUCCUAAUGCACUAGAAUUGAAUUGGGGACUUUGAUCGGAUCGGUGGCUUUGAUUUGUGUCUUGGAGUGUUGUACUUUGCUCUUGUAUUGAAUGAGGAGUAGUGAAUGCUUGGAUGGUUGGAGUGGAGGUGGUUGUGGGGUAUUUAUAGCCCCCAACCACCAAUUCAACCAUUGGGGGUGGCUGCUGUCGAUGGGCGCACCGGACAGUCCGGUGCGCCAACGGACACUGUCCGGUGCGCCAGCCACGUCACCCAAUCGUUAGGGUUCGGGCGGUUUCGACCGUUAGAGCUUUGUCUUCUAGUGGCACCGGACAGGUACUAUUCACUGUCCGGUGCGCCUCUGGCGGCUGCUCUGACUUCUGCGCGAACUGUCCACGCACUAUAGCGUUGCAGGCGACCGUUGAAGUCGACCGUUGCGCUGGCUAGCCGUUGCUCCGCUGGUGCACCGGAUAGUCCGGUGGCACACCAGACUGUCCGGUGAAUUAUAGUGGAGCGACGCCUGAGAAACCCGAAGGAGAAGGGUUCAGAGUCGUACGGCCCUGGUGCACCGGACACUGUCCGGUGGCACACCGGACAGUGCGGUACACUAGAUCAGGGUACUCUUUGGUUUCUUUUGCUCCUUUCUUUUUGAACCCUAACUUGAUCUUUUUAUUGGUUUGUGUUGAACCUUUAUGCACCUGUAGAAUAUAUAAUCUAGAGCAAACUAUUCAGUCCAAUUAUUUGUGUUGGGCAUUCAACCACCAAAAUUAUUUAUAGGAAAAGGUUAAACCCUAUUUCCCUUUCACUAAGAACAAGACCUAAACUUGUUUUGAAGGUUUAUGCAGCUGGUGGAUCAAGUUGGAUAAUCGAUAGUGGGUGCACAAACCACAUGACUGGGGAGAAAAAAUGUUCUCCUCCUAUGAGAAAAAUGAAGAUGCCCAACGAGCUAUCACAUUCGGGGAUGGAAAUCAGGGAUUGGUCAAAGGUUUGGGUAAAAUUCCUAUAUCUCCUGACCAUUCUAUUUCCAAUGUUUUUCUUGUAGAUUCUUUAGAUUACAAUUUGCUUUCUGUUUCUCAAUUGUGUAAAAUGGUCUACAACUGUCUAUUUACUGAUAUAGGUGUUACUGUCAUUAGAAGAAGUGAUGAUUCAAUAGCAUUUAAGGGAGUAUUAGAUGGUCAGCUAUAUUUAGUUGAUUUUAAUGAUAACAAAGCUAAGCUAGACACUUGCUUAAUUGCUAUGACUAACAUGGGUUGGCUCUGGCAUCGCCGACUUGCACAUGUUGGAAUGAAGAAUCUUCACAAACUUCUAAAGGGAGAGCACAUUUUAGGACUAACCAAUUUUCAUUUUGAGAAAGACAGGAUUUGUAGCACAUGCCAAGCAGGAAAGCAGGUUGGAGUUCAUCAUCCACACAAGAACAUAAUGACUACGACGGACAGGCCACUUGAGCUACUCCACAUGGAUCUAUUCGGCCCGAUAGAUUACAUAAGCAUCGACGGGAGUAAGUACUGUCUAGUUAUUGUGGAUGAUUAUUCUCGCUUCACUUCGGUAUUCUUUUUGCAGGAAAAAUCUUAAACCCAAGAGACUUUAAAGAGAUUCUUAAGACGGGCUCAAAAGAGUUCGGAUUGAGAAUCAAAAAGAUAAGAAGCGACAAUGGGACCAUGCUUGAUGAGUACAAGAACCAUGUUAAGAAGCUACUCCACAUGGAUCUUAAUAGAACUCUACUGGACAUGUUAAGAACCAUGCUUGAUGAGUACAAGACACCGGACCGGUUCUGGGCUGAGGCGAUUAACACCGAUUGCUACUCCAUCAACCGGCUAUACCUUCACCGAAUCCUCAAGAAAACAUCAUAUGAACUCCUCACUGGUAAAAAGCCAAAUGCUUUAAAUUUUAGAGUCUUUGGGAGUAAAUGCUUUAUUUUUAUUAAAAGAGGUAGAAGUUCUAAAUUUGCUCCUAAGGCUGUAGAAGGCUUUUUGCUAGGAUAUGACUCAAACACAAGGGCAUAUAGAGUCUUCAACAAAUCCACUGGAUUAGUUGAGGUUUCCUUGAUUCUUGUUUGAUUUGUUUUCCCCUCUCUUCGAACUUGAAUUUAAUUCUAACGCUAACCCCUGACCUUAGUGUGUGUUUAAAGUUUAUAAUUUUCAGGUUUCACCUAUUCACCCCCCCUUUAGGCGACUAUUAAACCACCUUGUUUGUUUUGAGCCGAAGGCGGAAAACACCUUCCCUUCUUUUCAUUCACAUCGAAGCAUCUUUGGGCCAGAGUCAAAAAACCGUGCUUUCGUGCGUAGCGAAGCAUUUUCGUGCCAAAGGUAAAAACCUUCCCUUCUUUUCCAUUAGUGUCUUAUGCAAUAUGCCAUGAUGCGAUGAAGCUACAGAUAUCUAAUGUAUGUUCGUAUGAAUGCAAAAAAUGAUGUGAUAAAAUAUGCAAGUGUAUGCCGAAGAUAAAAAAACCCACACAAAUUCACACCCAGACUCCGCAUCCCCUUAGGAAUGACUUUGGAAUCUCUUCACCUUUUACUUAGGUGGCAUUUUAGCUCUGUAUCCCCUUAGAAACGACUUUGGAGCUAAGCUCUGCAUCCCCUUAGGAACGAAUUUGGAGCUUCUUCACCUUUGACUUAGGUGGCAUUUUAGCUUUGCAUCCCCGUUGGAACGACUUUGGAGCUUCUUCACCUUUGACUUAGGUGGCAUUUUAGCUUUGCAUCCCCGUAGGAACGACAUUGGAGCUUUUUCAUAAUUUUACACUCGAUGGUGUAAUCCCAGUUUUUUUAUAUUUAACAUAUGGGGGAAACUGGCCCUUGUAUUGGUCAGGGCUACAAAAGGAAAAUGAAAAUUACAACCUAUGGCCCCAUUAAAAACCUUUCUCCGCUCUUGAAAGGAAAAGGGUGUCAUAGGGAAAAGAAGGAAAAUUACAUGGUUGUUACACACAGUAUCUUCGAAGCUCGUCUGCGUUCCAGGAUCUUGGAAUAUUAUUCCUGCCCAUGUUUCUUAACCUGUGUGAUCCAGUUCUUGAUGAAGAUACUACCAAGAAGGGGCCCUCCCACUUGAGUUGUAGCUUCCCCACUGUUUCUGGGUUGGCUAUUCUUCAAAACACUAAAUAUCCUAGCUUAAUACUCUUCAGUCUCACUUUCUUGUCUUGCCACUUUACUGUUUCAGCUUGGUAUUUAUUGAUAUGAUAUAUUCCUUGAAGUCUGACCCAUUCUAUAGUGUCUUUUGAUACUUUGCAAGUGUCUUCAUCCUCUGCCAAAGCUAGAGUCCUUAUCGAUCCUAUUCUUGCUUCUUCUAGUGUUAUUGAUUCGUCUCCAAACAAAAGCUUAAAUGGAGUGAACCAUGUUGACCUCGAGACAACAGUGUUAUGAUUCCAUACUACUUUCACCAAUUUGUAUGGUCACUUUCCCUUUGGUAGAUUAAAAAUUGAUUUCAUUAUUCCUAUGAUGAUGAUUCCGUUGGCCUGCUCUACCAAACCAUUGGAUUAUGGAUGUCUCACUGAUGAAAAGUGUAUCUUCAUUCCGAUCUGAUCACAAAAGGUUUUAAAUGUUUCAGAGUCAAAUUGUGCUUCGUUGUCAACUGUAAUAGCCUUCGGCACACCAAAACGACAAAUGAUGUUCUACUAGGAAACCUUUUGAACUGUGGCCGAAGUUAUCGUGGCUAGAGGUUUGGCUUCGAUCCAUUUGGAAAAAUAUUCCACUACUACUAUGACAUAUCUCAAAUUCCCUUGUGCUGGGGGAAGUGAGCCCAAUAAGUCUAGGUCCCAUCUUUGCAGUGGCCAAGUGGGUUGAAUCAGUUGUGUUAGAGAUGAAUGUUGUUUUUUAUCCCUGGCACACUUUUGAUAGUUUCACAUUUUUGUACAAAAUCCGCUACGUCCGAAGCAGCCUUUGGCCAAUAGAAUCCUUGUCUAAAAACUUUUCCAAGGAGUGGCCUGGAUCUGAUGUGGGCUCCGCAUAUUCCUGAAGGUAUUUCCUUCAUCAGUUCUUAACCUUCGGCUCUGGAUAGGCAUUUUAGUAAUGGGGAGCAAACUCCUUGCUUGAAUAAUUCCCCUUCUAUAAUCACGUAUGGCCUUGUCCUGGCAUGCAUCCUUUUAUGUAAACUUCAUCAUCCGAAGGAUAAUUGCCUUGGAGGAAAUAUACAAUUUGUGUUCUCCAAUCCUAGCUAUGCAUAGGUGAAAUUGCAAGCACUGCUCUUUCCAUGAGCUCGACCGAAAGUGCUUUGAGAGUUUCAAAGAAUACUUCUGAGGGGAGCGGGAGCCCCUGUGCCGCUGACUUAGCUAAUAAAUCUGCAUGUUCAUUGUCUCCUGUUGGGAUGUUUUUCACUGAAAAUCCUUUGAAGGAGGCCUCCAUCCUUCGGACUGUGUCGAGAUAUUUUUCGAGCUUUGGGUCUCUUGCCUUGCUGCUUUUGUCAACCUGCCCUGCGAUGACUUGUGAAUCAGAUUUAAGGAUCGCCCUUCUUAUCCCCAUGGCCCUAGGCUUUCUAAGCCCCAAGAGGACAUCUUCGUAUUCUGCAAUGUUGUUUGUACAAUUGAACUCCAAUCUGGAUGCAUAGCAGGUUUUGUUUUUUGAUGGUGAUAUUAGAAUGGCAGCUGCGCCCGCGCCAAAGGUUCCCCAUGAUCCAUCACAGAAUACUAUCUAGGCUUCGGUAUCUAUUGGGUGCACUUCUUCAUGAUCCCUAGGCGUCUAAUCGACAAUGAAGUCUGCUAUUGCUUCAUAUUGAAUCGAAGACAUAUGAACAAAGUCAAUGGUGAACUUGUUCAACUCUACAACACAUUUGCCAACCCUUCCUGUAGCUUCUCUAUUUCUUAUGAUGUCUUUUAGAGGUUGAGAUGAAGGUACUAUGAUGUGGUAGGACUGGAAAUAGUGCGGAAGCUUCCUAGAAGCCAUCAGUACAGCAUACAGUACCUUCUCCAACUCUGUGUUGUUUGUUUUCGAUGGACUUAAUACUUCAGAGACGAAGUAUAUUGGGACUUGUUUCUUUGUUUGUUCAUCUUGCUUUUCUUGCACCAGCGCUGCACUAACUGCCGCGUGGGAAGUUGCUACAUCAAUAGUAAUGGGGAUCCUGACGAAGGUGGAGUCAAAGUUGUCAGUUGUAUAAGAUAUUGUUUCAAAUAUUCAAAGACCUUUUGCUAAACUGGCCCCCAUUGAAAGACUUUGGCUGACUUUAAUACCUCGAAGAAUGGCAAAUUCCUUUCUACUGAUCUUGAUAUAAACCUAUUCAAUGAUGCCAGCCUGCCUAUCAAUAUUUGAGCACCUUUUCUUGACUUUGGUGGCUCCAUCUAAAGUAUAGCUUCUAUUUUGUUUGGGUUAGCUUCAAUCUUUUUCCUUUCUUUACACCAAAGACACAUUUUUUGGGUUUAACUUGAGGCUAGCCUUUCUGAAAUUGGAAAAUGUUUCUUGCAAAUCAGCAAUGUCGUUUUCUUGCUUCGUAAUUUUUACUAUGAUAUCAUCAACAUAUGUCAAAACAUUCCUGUCAAUUUGAGUGCAUAGAACUUUAGAAGUCAUCUUGUUAAAGCUUCCUCCAGCAUUCUUAAGCCCCUUAGGCAUCCAAAGAUAGCAAUAAGUUCCACUAGGGGUUAUGAAGCUUGUUUUGGGCUCAACUUCCUUCUUCAUCUAGAUCUGAUGAUAGCCUGAGUAACAAUCUAGUAGGCUCAUGAGCUCCGAAGUGGCUUCCUCAUCUAUGAGAGAGUCUAUUCUUGGCAAGGGAAAUUUAAUCUUCAGGCAUGCCUUGUUGAGAUCUGUGAAAUCAAUGCACAUUCUCCAAUUUCCAUUAGCCUUCUUCACCAUCACAGUGUUGGCUAGCCACUCAGGGUAUGUCACCUCUCUAAUCACUCCGGCACUAAGGAGUCUUUUAACUUCGUUUCUUGCACCUUUGGCUUUAUCAUCUUACAUCUUCCUAAGCUUCUGCUUCCUUGGUCUAACGGUUGGGUCUACAUUGAGAGAGUGCUCGAUAACAUCUCUGUUGAUACUACAAAGAUCAUUGGCUGACCAAGCAAAAACAUCCUUGUUAAUGAACAAGAAUUUUAACAAAGCCUUUUCUUAUUCCUUAGAUAAUUGGGAUCCAAACAACACCUUUGUUCAACUAUGUCUUCACACAAAAGCAUAGACUUUGGUUGAUCCGCUGAGGCGGCUUUAUCGCUUACGUACUUAUGCUGUUGGUGAGCUUUGACUUCAUCUAUAUUGUGAAUGGCCUUGGAAUCCGUCCAAUUCCCUUCGGCCCUUCUAGCAGCCUCUUGGAUUCCAUGUACAACAAUAGGGCACUGAUCUGAUGGUAUCUUCAUACACAAAUAUGCUGAAUGAAGUAUUGCUUUGAAAGCAUUCAAUGUCCCUUGUCCAAUGAUUGCAUUGUAAGGAUAAUCCAUGUCUACAAUGUCAAACAAAACUUGCUCUGUUCUGGUGUUGUGCACAUAGCCAAAGGUUAUUGACAUUGUUAUUUUUCCAAGUGCCACUAUCUGUUUUCCUUCGAAGCCACACAUGGGGUGUGUUGCAUCAUGUAUUUUGUCAUCCUGCUCUUGCAUCUGCGUGAAGGCUUUUGCAAAAAUAAUGUCUGUUGCACUACCCAUGCCUACGAGGACAUUGCGGACCAAAAACCCUUUGAUAACACAUGAUAUGACCAUAACAUCAUUGUGAGGGUAAUCCUUAAGCUGAAGGUCCUCUUCAGAAAAUGUGAUCGGCACAUGAGACCAUUUGGACUUGAUGAAGAGUCCUUGUACUCCGACAUGUUGCACCCUUCUCUGUGCUUCCUUCUUUUGCUUCUUAUUAGCUGGUUCAAAAAUUUGAACCGCAUGUGAUUGGGAACACUAGCUUUGUGGCCGAAGAUGAUGUAGCUUGAUCACCUUGCGAAGCCAUUAUCGUGGUCGUGGAUGUAACACCCCGUCCACUCCCGGACCGACGGUACUUACUCCUGGCAGCUCUCUAGGAUCAUAUAUUGUCCCUACAGACCAACACAAGUCUUUUGUGCGUACUUUGUCCUCACUCAUGCGCACCCGAGAAAACUUUUUGGUUGGUCACCCAUCCCAAAUUGCUCCAAGCUAAGCACACUUAACUUGGAGGUUCUUUCGAGAUAGGCUUCCAAAAAAGAAGACGCGCCUUGUUGAUAUGAGUACUCUAUUAAUCCUAUUAAGCCUUGGGCCAGGAUAUCACCAUCCUAGGGCCCGGAUAUCACAAUCCACCCCCUAAGAAGACCGACGUCCUCCUGGGUCAACCCCAAUCCAGGAACCUCACUCUUAGCCACCUCUAUGUGUCUAGUGUCGUCAUAUGCCAUGCCAUGUGGCCACUCCAGGCUCUCAUGUGCCAUGCACCAUAUACCCGAACCCCUAACCCACACACGCCCGUGAAACCACGAGGGUCAGCUCUGAUACCACUUGUAACACCCUGUCCACUCCCGGACCAGUGGUACAUACUCAUUGCAGCUCUCUAGGAUCAUAUAUUGUCCUCACAGACUAAAACGAGUCUUUUGUGCACACUUUGUCCUCACUCAUGCGCACCCGAGAAAACUUCUCGGUUGGUCACCCAUCCUAAAUUGCUCCAAGCCAAGCACGCUUAACUUGCAGGUUCUUUCGAGAUAGGCUUCUGAAAAAAAGAUGCACCUUAUUGAUAUGAGUACUCUAUUAAUUCCAUUAAGCCUUGGGCUAGGAUAUCACCAUCCCAAGGGCCAGGAUAUCAUAGUGGAAGUGGGUUUGAGCCCCACAGUGGGCAUCAAUGUUGGUUACUUGUUCUCAAUUGAUGUGAAUCAAUAGCAAGACAAUACAUUUGUAAUAUGUUAAAGAGUUUUGUCCUUCGAAGCAUUAUUCCUUCUCAGGUUUAAUGAACUUAGACGAAGGUCAUAAGUAACAAGUCCUCAUCAUUCACAGAUAUAAAAAUAUACUUGCAAGAUGUAAUAUCAUGUCACAUAUGUUUUUCAUAAUGAAUGUACAAGAACGGUCAUAGUUUAUGUUACAUUGAUACCUUCGGCUUCUUUGAAGGUAAUGACGCGAGAGCAAUUACCAUCCAGCGUGAACAGUAUAGGAGCACUGUUCACCUAUUUAUAGGCACAGGACAUAGACCAGAUAAAAAUACAUUUGUGACCUUAACAUAUAUACAUAAUCCUGAUACAAAACACUAGGGAUUAACUGAUCUUUUCCCAUUCAGCUCAACAUUAUGGUUGACCUUCGUUACCACAUUAAAUUGAAGUUGUCAUACUUCUGCGCUUUAAACAUGCUCAUUGUAGCUUCGCCAUUUGUCACACCCGGAUUUAGGGGGCCAAACCUGGGCGCGAUUCACAUGUGUGCUAGGAUCUAGUCUCACACAUAUGAUGACUCAUGGUACAGAAAUGAAUGUCACAUCUUUAAUAUAUAAUGGAGUUCUGUACAAAAUAUUUAAAUAAUUACAUCAUACGAAGACAACGAUGCAGCAACCAUAGUUGACUUGGAGAUGAUGGCCUAGACCUCUAACGAACUCAUCGCGACAUCCUUCAUGUGCCAUAUGAUGGUACCUGUUCUUGACCUGGGGGGAUGUGAGUACCACAAGGGUGAGCUCACAUACGUUCAUCCAUCAACAAGUUGUGGGGAAUAAUGUGCAUGAACUCACCAAAGGUGGGAGCUCAAGUGAAGUGUAAGGCUUACCAAAGGAGAUGCUUAAAGCUGAGCAUUGCUUUUAUAGUUGGUCAAAAUUUUAUUAGCAGUUAUUAAGUAUAAGUAGAUACCAACCCAAAUAAGUAAGAGAUCAAAAUUAAUAAUAACACCAGCGAUGCAAUGCAUAUGACAGAUUAAGUUUAGUUCCAUAAUUUACUCAUGUGAGGUCUGAGCUGCUCAUGACCGUGAGCAUGGCUGAUAUACCAGUUUUACACUCUGUAGAGGUUGCACAUAUUUACCCACAAGUCGUGUUACCCAUUUUUUAAGGGAUCACGACUUCCCAUUCAUCUCUACCGAGGAGACGAGGCAGGGUACCACUACGAGGCCUUCACAAAGUUCCACUAGCUUCCAGAAACCCGCUACGGUUUCUGA
rnacentral:lncRNA from 1 species